AGCGAACGCUGGCGGCAGGCCUAACACAUGCAAGUCGAACGAACUCUUCGGAGUUAGUGGCGGACGGGUGAGUAACGCGUGGGAACGUACCCUUUGGUUCGGAAUAGCCCUGGGAAACUGGGAGUAACACCGGAUACGGUCGAGAGACGAAAGAUUUAUCGCCGAAGGAUCGGCCCGCGUUGGAUUAGGUAGUUGGUGGG
rnacentral:rRNA from 1 species